rnacentral:lncRNA from 1 species
CCUCGUGUAAAUUACUGAAGUUCUCUAAACGACUGUUCGGUCCACGAAAUGGGGAUAAUAAUGGUACUGACCUCACAGGAUGGCCAGAAUGUUUAAAAUCAUGCAUCUGAAAGUCCUUAACACAUCACAUACGCAUAGUAGGUGGUCUUGCUUUUAACGAAGCCUGAGUUCAUCAUUAGCACUCAGGCUGCCUCGAAAGAUUCCUCUUUGAUUGUCAGGGAAGGGAGGUGGCGUUUUAGGCAGCUCUGGCAACGCUGCUCACAGACUUACCAAGAAAGGGGGAGGAUCUAUGGAAGGAAAUGAAUUUCACCAUCCUUACUGCAACUCUUGUAUAAGAUACAAAUCAAUUAAUUCAUCACAUUCUUAUCCCAUUCAGCAUCUUGCCAUCACGAGGCCCCUGCCCAGCUCCUCGGAAUUCCUCCUCUAAUUCAGCUGUGGCUUCUCUAGUUGGCCGGCGCCCAGCCCUCGCCCUGGUGAAGUUCGAGAGCUACAUAAGCUGUCUUGCCUUGGAUGUUCUUCUGAGAGUUUGGAAGGAACUCUAAUUCAGUUUCUGACAAGUUAUUGGCAAAAGGAGAGGAAGCGCUUGCCAAUUUGCUUCAGGCACCGAGCAUGUUAACAGGUAUUACACCAGGUGUUAUUAAUAUAUUACUUACAACAAACCCAGGUUUCAACCUAUUGUUUGGGUUAUACAGAGUUAUGAAUUUUAUACUUUACAAAGUACUGUAUUUUUUCUAAUCGAGAAAACUUGGAAUGUGUGUUGAAGAAUUCAGUCCUCAGUGUGAGAUGUAUUUAUUACAAAUGAGUCUUAUUUCAGAAUCAGUUUGUGGGUUAAAUGACCAAUACCAUUUCUUCAAAUCGAUCACUUGCUAAAGCCGAAGACUGGGACAGGUGUCACUCCCAGGGCUCAGCCAGCCAAGCUCGCAGGAAUGAGGUCAGUGCCCUGAUGAAAUGGCUUCCUUUUUCCUCUAAGGAAAGUUGACAACUUUCUCUCAAAGAAAUUUCAGAGCUGGAAGGAAUAGCUUUGGAUGCUCUACACUUGGGGGCUUAGAAAAUGAAUAUCUAAGACGCAGUAGUCCUAAAACUCCCACUGUUCUUAGCAAGCACAGGGACUGUCUAUAAUCUCAUUGAUGAUGCAUAGCUAUCCAGCCUAAAACAAAGCGCACAUUGCAAGUCAGAGAACAGGCAGGAAGGAAACGCUUCCGCUCAGCAAAUUCCUAGAAGGGGAGAAUAUCUCCCUUAGGAAAAUGGCCCUUUGACACGUUCCACACUGUGUACCUCGCACCCAUGACUGCUUUAGCACUUUACCAGGCAUCAGACCUACCAGCCGGAAUACCACAAGCAGAAGCCAAAUCAAAUGAAACAAGGCCUCUGUCCAGCUCUAUGGCCCUCCAGGCCCAGGCCCAGCAAUUGGCUAACAGAGAGCCAUGUGUGCUACUGAGCUCUUUCCAGACAACGUGAUUUCUGAAGAAAUGCUGCUCACUU